CCUACGGGAGGCAGCAGUGAGGAAUAUUGGUCAAUGGACGAGAGUCUGAACCAGCCAAGUAGCGUGAAGGGUGACUGCCCUAUGGGUUGUAAACUUCUUUUAUAUGGGAAUAAAACAGGGUAUGCAUACCCUCUUGUAUGUACCAUAUGAAUAAGGAUCGGCUAACUACGUGCCAGCAGCCGCGGUAAUACGGAGGAUCCGAGCGUUAUACGGAUUUAUUGGGUUUAAAGGGAGCGUAGGGGGCUGGUUAAGUCAGUUGUGAAAGUUCGGGGCUCAACCGUAGAAUUGCAGUUGAAACUGGCAGUCUUGAGUACAGUAGAGGUGGGCGGAAUUCGAGGUGUAGCGGUGAAAUGCUUAGAUAUCACGAAGAACACCGAUUGCGAAGGCAGCUCACUGGACUACAACUGACACUGAUGCUCGAAAGUGUGGGUAGCAAACAGGAUUAGAUACCCUUGUAGUC
rnacentral:rRNA from 1 species